rnacentral:piRNA from 1 species
UCAUCAUUGCAGGAAAUCGGU